rnacentral:rRNA from 1 species
UAUAGGAGGUCCAGCCUGCCCAGUGACUACAAGUUUAACGGCCGCGGUAUUUUGACCGUGCAAAGGUAGCGCAAUCACUUGUCUCUUAAAUAGAGACCUGUAUGAAUGGCCAAACGAGGGCUUAACUGUCUCCCUUUUCCAGUCAGUGAAAUUGAUCUAUCCGUGCAGAAGCGGGUAUAAUAAUACAAGACGAGAAGACCCUUUGGAGCUUAAGGUACAAAACUCAACCACGUAAAGAAACUCAGUAAAAAGCAAAAACUUUGUGGAGUAUGAGACUCUACCUUCGGUUGGGGCGACCAUGGAGGAAAAUAAAGCCUCCAAGUGGACCGGGAUUUAAAAUAUCCUAAAACCAAGAGAGACAUCUCUAAGCCACAGAACAUCUGACCAAUAAUGAUCCGGCUGCCAUAAGCCGAUCAACGAACCAAGUUACCCUAGGGAUAACAGCGCAAUCCUCUCCCAGAGUCCAUAUCGACGAGGGGGUUUACGACCUCGAUGUUGGAUCAGGACAUCCUAAUGGUGCAGCCGCUAUUAAGGGUUCGUUUGUUCAACGAUUAAAGUCCUACGUGA